GUGAGUCAUCGAAUCUUUGAACGCACAUUGCGCCCUCUGGUAUUCCGGGGGGCAUGCCUGUUCGAGCGUCAUUACAACCCUCAAGCUCUGCUUGGUGUUGGGCGCCGCCUCCCGUGGCGCGCCUCAAAGUCAGUGGCGGUGCCGUUCGGCUCCAAGCGUAGUAGCACUCUUCUCGCUUCUGGGGCUCGGGCGCGCGCCUGCCAGCAACCCACACUACUCAAAGGUUGACCUCGGAUCAGGUAGGGAUACCCGCUGAACUUAAGCAUAUCAAUAAGCGGAGGA
rnacentral:misc_RNA from 1 species